AUUGAACGCUGGCGGCAGGCUUAACACAUGCAAGUCGAGCGGGGUGAUGGUGCUUGCACUAUCACUUAGCGGCGGACGGGUGAGUAAUGCUUAGGAAUCUGCCUAUUAGUGGGGGACAACAUCUCGAAAGGGAUGCUAAUACCGCAUACGUCCUACGGGAGAAAGCAGGGGAUCACUUGUGACCUUGCGCUAAUAGAUGAGCCUAAGUCGGAUUAGCUAGUUGGUGGGGUAAAGGCCUACCAAGGCGACGAUCUGUAGCGGGUCGGAGAGGAUGAUCCGCCACCCUGGGACUGCGACCCGGCCCAGCCUCCUACAGGAGGCAGCAGUGGGGAAUAUUGGACAAUCGGGGGAACCCUGAUCCAGCCAUGCCGCGUGUGUGAAGAAGGCCUUAUGGUUGUAAAGCACUUUAAGCGAGGAGGAGGCUCUUUUGGUUAAUACCCAAGAUGCGUGGACGUUACUCGCACAAUAAGCACCGGCUAACUCUGUGCCAGCCGCCGCCGUAA
rnacentral:rRNA from 1 species